rnacentral:rRNA from 1 species
UACAGAGGUGGCAAGCGUUGUUCGGAAUUACUGGGCGUAAAGGGCGCGUAGGCGGUUCGAUAAGUCCCGUGUGAAAUCCCUCGGCUCAACUGAGGAACUGCACGGGAAACUGGCGGGCUUGAGUUCGGGAGAGGGAAGCGGAAUUCCGGGUGUAGCGGUGAAAUGCGUAGAUAUCCGGAGGAACACCGGUGGCGAAGGCGGCUUCCUGGACCGACACUGACGCUGAGGCGCGAAAGCUAGGGGAGCAAACGGG